rnacentral:rRNA from 1 species
GACGAACGCUGGCGGCGUGCCUAAUACAUGCAAGUAGAACGCUGAAGAGAGGAGCUUGCUCUUCUUGGAUGAGUUGCGAACGGGUGAGUAACGCGUAGGUAACCUGCCUGGUAGCGGGGGAUAACUAUUGGAAACGAUAGCUAAUACCGCAUAAAAUUGAUUAUUGCAUGAUAAUUAAUUGAAAGAUGCAACUGCAUCACUACCAGAUGGACCUGCGUUGUAUUAGCUAGUUGGUGAGGUAACGGCUCACCAGGGCGACGAUACAUAGCCGACCUGAGAGGGUGAUCGGCCACACUGGGACUGAGACACGGCCCAGACUCCUACGGGAGGCAGCAGUAGGGAAUCUUCGGCAAUGGGGGGAACCCUGACCGAGCAACGCCGCGUGAGUGAAGAAGGUUUUCGGAUCGUAAAGCUCUGUUGUAAGAGAAGAACGGGUGUGAGAGUGGAAAGUUCACACUGUGACGGUAUCUUACCAGAAAGGGACGGCUAACUACGUG